rnacentral:tRNA from 2 species
GGUUCAAGUUCCUCUAUCCCCA